rnacentral:rRNA from 1 species
AGGGAAUAUUGCACAAUGGGGGAAACCCUGAUGCAGCGACGCCGCGUGAGUGAUGAUGGCCUUCGGGUUGUAAAGCUCUGUCUUCAGGGACGAUAAUGACGGUACCUGAGGAGGAAGCCACGGCUAACUACGUGCCAGCAGCCGCGGUAAUACGUAGGUGGCAAGCGUUGUCCGGAUUUACUGGGCGUAAAGGGAGCGUAGGCGGACUUUUAAGUGAGAUGUGAAAUACCCGGGCUCAACCUGGGUGCUGCAUUUCAAACUGGAAGUCUAGAGUGCAGGAGAGGAGAGUGGAAUUCCUAGUGUAGCGGUGAAAUGCGUAGAGAUUAGGAGGAACGCCGGUGGCGAAGGCGGCCUUCUGGACGGCUACUGACGCUGAGACGCG